GGAGCGGUGGCUGGGUGGUUAAAGCAUGGUGAACCGUCUGGCAACGUGGAUCCAAAGUCCGCCGGUUCGACUCCGGCUCGCUCUG
rfam:Fusarium fujikuroi IMI 58289 draft genome, chromosome FFTJ_chr08